rnacentral:sRNA from 1 species
GUGUAAGAUGCGAUAAUUUUGACCAUAUAAAUCGAAACAGUCGUGAUCUGAUUAUAUCAUCGUGUCUGUUUAUGUGCAAUAUAAAAGAACCUGGCAAAACUGCCCAGGUUCUUUUUUGA